rnacentral:rRNA from 1 species
UACGAACCGAGCGAACGUUGUUCGGAAUCACUGGGCUUAAAGGGCGCGUAGGCGGGUUCUCAAGUCCGCGGUGAAAUCCUCCGGCUCAACCGGAGAACUGCCUCGGAUACUGGGUGCCUCGAGGGUGGUAGGGGUAUGCGGAACUAUCGGUGGAGCGGUGAAAUGCGUUGAUAUCGAUAGGAACUCCGGUGGCGAAGGCGGCAUACUGGACCACCUCUGACGCUGAUGCGCGAAAGCCAGGGGAGCAAACGGG